ACUCUAAGCGGUGGAUCACUCGGCUCAUGGGUCGAUGAAGAACGCAGCAAACUGUGCGUCAUCGUGUGAACUGCAGGACACAUGAACAUCGACAUUUUGAACGCAUAUCGCAGUCCAUGCUGUUAUGUACUUUAAUUAAUUUUAUAGUGCUGCUUGGACUACAUAUGGUUGAGGGUUGUAAGACUAUGCUAAUUAAGUUGCUUAUAAAUUUUUAUAAGCAUAUGGUAUAUUAUUGGAUAAAUAUAAUAAUUUUUAUUCAUAAUAUUAAAAAAUAAAUGAAAAACAUUAUCUCACAUUUGAAUGUGAAAAACGAAGAGAAAUAUUUUCUUUUUCAAUCAAAUAAUACUGAGAAAUGUCUAGCAUAAAAAAUUGAAAUAUUUUUCAUCUAGAAUUGUCUCUUAUUAAUGAUUCGGAAAUAGAAAAAUCUUGGUUAUGUUAUUAUUCUUCGUUGGUUCGUUAAAAAUGGAUAAAUAAAAACUUUGCAUACAAGAAUUAAUAAAAAUGUUAUAACGAAUUUAAUUAAAUGUUUUAUCAUUAUAUAUAAAGAAUUUAUGGCAAGAUAAAGUUAUAUACAACCUCAACUCAUAUGGGACUACCCCUGAAUUUAAGCAUAUUAAUUAGGGGAGGAAAAGAAACUAACAAGGAUUUUCUUAGUAGCGGCGAGCGAAAAGAAAACAGUUCAGCACUAAGUCACUUUGUCUAUAUGGCAAAUGUGAGAUGCAGUGUAUGGAGCGUCAAUAUUCUAGUAUGAGAAAUUAACGAUUUAAGUCCUUCUUAAAUGAGGCCAUUUACCCAUAGAGGGUGCCAGGCCCGUAUAACGUUAAUGAUUACUAGAUGAUGUUUCCAAAGAGUCGUGUUGCUUGAUAGUGCAGCACUAAGUGGGUGGUAAACUCCAUCUAAAACUAAAUAUAACCAUGAGACCGAUAGUAAACAAGUACCGUGAGGGAAAGUUGAAAAGAACUCUGAAUAGAGAGUUAAACAGUACGUGAAACUGCUUAGAGGUUAAGCCCGAUGAACCUGAAUAUCCGUUAUGGAAAAUUCAUCAUUAAAAUUGUAAUAUUUAAAUAAUAUUAUGAGAAUAGUGUGCAUUUUUUCCAUAUAAGGACAUUGUAAUCUAUUAGCAUAUACCAAAUUUAUCAUAAAAUAUAACUUAUAGUUUAUUCCAAUUAAAUUGCUUGCAUUUUAACACAGAAUAAAUGUUAUUAAUUUGAUAAAGUGCUGAUAGAUUUAUAUGAUUACAGUGCGUUAAUUUUUCGGAAUUAUAUAAUGGCAUAAUUAUCAUUGAUUUUUGUGUUUAUUAUAUGCACUUGUAUGAUUAACAAUGCGAAAGAUUCAGGAUACCUUCGGGACCCGUCUUGAAACACGGACCAAGGAGUCUAACAUAUGUGCAAGUUAUUGGGAUAUAAACCUAAUAGCGUAAUUAACUUGACUAAUAAUGGGAUUAGUUUUUUAGCUAUUUAUAGCUAAUUAACACAAUCCCGGGCGUUCUAUAUAGUUAUGUAUAAUGUAUAUUUAUAUUAUUUAUGCCUCUAACUGGAACGUACCUUGAGCAUAUAUGCUGUGACCCGAAAGAUGGUGAACUAUACUUGAUCAGGUUGAAGUCAGGGGAAACCCUGAUGGAAGACCGAAACAGUUCUGACGUGCAAAUCGAUUGUCAGAAUUGAGUAUAGGGGCGAAAGACCAAUCGAACCAUCUAGUAGCUGGUUCCUUCCGAAGUUUCCCUCAGGAUAGCUGGUGCAUUUUAAUAUUAUAUAAAAUAAUCUUAUCUGGUAAAGCGAAUGAUUAGAGGCCUUAGGGUCGAAACGAUCUUAACCUAUUCUCAAACUUUAAAUGGGUAAGAACCUUAACUUUCUUGAUAUGAAGUUCAAGGUUAUGAUAUAAUGUGCCCAGUGGGCCACUUUUGGUAAGCAGAACUGGCGCUGUGGGAUGAACCAAACGUAAUGUUACGGUGCCCAAAUUAACAACUCAUGCAGAUACCAUGAAAGGCGUUGGUUGCUUAAAACAGCAGGACGGUGAUCAUGGAAGUCGAAAUCCGCUAAGGAGUGUGUAACAACUCACCUGCCGAAGCAACUAGCCCUUAAAAUGGAUGGCGCUUAAGUUGUAUACCUAUACAUUACCGCUAAAGUAGAUGAUUUAUAUUACUUGUGAUAUAAAUUUUGAAACUUUAGUGAGUAGGAAGGUACAAUGGUAUGCGUAGAAGUGUUUGGCGUAAGCCUGCAUGGAGCUGCCAUUGGUACAGAUCUUGGUGGUAGUAGCAAAUAAUCGAAUGAGACCUUGGAGGACUGAAGUGGAGAAGGGUUUCGUGUGAACAGUGGUUGAUCACGAGUUAGUCGGUCCUAAGUUCAAGGCGAAAGCCGAAAAUUUUCAAGUAAAACAAAAAUGCCUAACUAUAUAAACAAAGCGAAUUAUAAUACACUUGAAUAAUUUUGAACGAAAGGGAAUACGGUUCCAAUUCCGUAACCUGUUGAGUAUCCGUUUGUUAUUAAAUAUGGGCCUCGUGCUCAUCCUGGCAACAGGAACGACCAUAAAGAAGCCGUCGAGAGAUAUCGGAAGAGUUUUCUUUUCUGUUUUAUAGCCGUACUACCAUGGAAGUCUUUCGCAGAGAGAUAU
rnacentral:rRNA from 1 species